CCAAAGGCUCUUUUCAGAGCCACCCAUGUUUUCACGAUUGGAGAGU
rfam:Loxodonta africana unplaced genomic scaffold scaffold_44, whole genome shotgun sequence.